rnacentral:rRNA from 1 species
UACAGAGGUCUCAAGCGUUGUUCGGAUUUAUUGGGCGUAAAGGGCGCGUAGGCGGCGGGGUAAGUCGGGUGUGAAAUCUCAGGGCUCAACCCUGAAACUGCACUUGAUACUGCUCUGCUUGAGGACUGGAGAGGAGACUGGAGUUCACGGUGUAGUAGUGAAAUGCGUAGAUAUCGUGAGGAAGACCAGUGGCGAAGGCGGGUCUCUGGACAGUUCCUGACGCUGAGGCGCGAAGGCCAGGGGAGCAAACGGG